rnacentral:rRNA from 1 species
AACGUAGGAGGCGAGCGUUAUCCGGAUUUACUGGGCGUAAAGCGCGCGCAGGCGGCUGAGCAAGUCGGACGUGAAAGCUCCUGGCUUAACUGGGAGAGGUCGUUCGAAACUGCCCGGCUUGAGGUUGGGAGAGGGGUGUGGAAUUCCCGGUGUAGUGGUGGAAUGCGUAGAUAUCGGGAGGAACACCAGUGGCGAAGGCGGCACCCUGGCCCACACCUGACGCUGAAGUGCGAAAGCGUGGGGAGCAAACAGG